GUGCUUGCUUUGGCAGCACAUAUACUAAAAUUGGAAUGAUACAGAUAAGAUUAGCAUGGCCCCUGUGAAAGCUCAACACGCAAAUUCAUGAAGCGCUCCUAUCAUGC